UGGGGAAUAUUGGACAAUGGGCGCAAGCCUGAUCCAGCCAUGCCGCGUGAGUGAUGAAGGCCCUAGGGUUGUAAAGCUCUUUCACCGGUGAAGAUAAUGACGGUAACCGGAGAAGAAGCCCCGGCUAACUUCGUGCCAGCAGCCGCGGUAAUACGAAGGGGGCUAGCGUUGUUCGGAUUUACUGGGCGUAAAGCGCACGUAGGCGGACUAUUAAGUCAGGGGUGAAAUCCCGGGGCUCAACCCCGGAACUGCCUUUGAUACUGGUAGUCUUGAGUUCGAGAGAGGUGCGUGGAAUUCCGAGUGUAGAGGUGAAAUUCGUAGAUAUUCGGAGGAACACCAGUGGCGAAGGCGGCUCACUGGCUCGAUACUGACGCUAAGGUGCGAAAGCGUGGGGAGCAAACAGG
rnacentral:rRNA from 1 species